GAUGCCUUAAAAUUGNGGUUUCGACUCACUGAGAGUAACGUGAGGACCUACAGUUCCUUGGCUGUGUNUGA
rnacentral:misc_RNA from 1 species